rnacentral:rRNA from 1 species
GAUGAACGCUGGCGGCGUGCCUAAUACAUGCAAGUCGAGCGAACGGACGAGAAGCUUGCUUCUCUGAUGUUAGCGGCGGACGGGUGAGUAACACGUGGAUAACCUACCUAUAAGACUGGGAUAACUUCGGGAAACCGGAGCUAAUACCGGAUGAUAUUUUGAACCGCAUGGUUCAAAAGUGAAAGACGGUCUUGCUGUCACUUAUAGAUGGAUCCGCGCUGCAUUAGCUAGUUGGUAAGGUAAUGGCUUAUCAAGGCAACGAUGCAUAGCCGACCUGAGAGGGUGAUCGGCCACACUGGAACUGAGACACGGUCCAGACUCCUACGGGAGGCAGCAGUAGGGAAUCUUCCGCAAUGGGCGAAAGCCUGACGGAGCAACGCCGCGUGAGUGAUGAAGGUCUUCGGAUCGUAAAACUCUGUUAUUAGGGAAGAACAUAUGUGUAAGUAACUGUGCACAUCUUGACGGUACCUAAUCAGAAAGCCACGGCUAACUACGUG